rnacentral:rRNA from 1 species
GUGGGGAAUAUUGCACAAUGGGCGCAAGCCUGAUGCAGCGACGCCGCGUGGGGGAUGACGGCCUUCGGGUUGUAAACUCCUUUCGUCAGGGACGAAGCGAAAGUGACGGUACCUGGAUAAGAAGCACCGGCUAACUACGUGCCAGCAGCCGCGGUAAUACGUAGGGUGCGAGCGUUGUCCGGAAUUACUGGGCGUAAAGAGCUCGUAGGUGGUUUGUCGCGUCGUUUGUGGAAUACCGCAGCUUAACUGCGGGGUUGCAGGCGAUACGGGCAUAACUUGAGUGCUGUAGGGGAGACUGGAAUUCCUGGUGUAGCGGUGGAAUGCGCAGAUAUCAGGAGGAACACCGAUGGCGAAGGCAGGUCUCUGGGCAGUAACUGACGCUGAGGAGCGAAAGCAUGGGUAGCGAACAGGAUUAGAUACCCUAGUAGUCC